rnacentral:rRNA from 1 species
GACGAACGCUGGCGGCGUGCUUAACACAUGCAAGUCGAACGGAAAGGCCCUGCUUUUGUGGGGUGCUCGAGUGGCGAACGGGUGAGUAACACGUGAGUAACCUGCCCUUUACUUUGGGAUAACUUCAGGAAACUGGGGCUAAUACCGGAUAGGAGCUCCUGCUGCAUGGUGGGGGUUGGAAAGUUUCGGCGGUUGGGGAUGGACUCGCGGCUUAUCAGCUUGUUGGUGGGGUAGUGGCUUACCAAGGCUUUGACGGGUAGCCGGCCUGAGAGGGUGACCGGCCACAUUGGGACUGAGAUACGGCCCAGACUCCUACGGGAGGCAGCAGUGGGGAAGAUUGCACAAUGGGCGGAAGCCUGAUGCAGCAACGCCGCGUGCGGGAUGACGGCCUUCGGGUUGUAAACCGCUUUCGCCUGUGACGAAGCGUGAGUGACGGUAAUGGGUAAAGAAGCACCGGCUAACUACGUG